GACGAACGCUGGCGGCGUGCCUAAUACAUGCAAGUAGAACGCACAGUUUAUACCGUAGCUUGCUACACCAUAGACUGUGAGUUGCGAACGGGUGAGUAACGCGUAGGUAACCUGCCUGGUAGCGGGGGAUAACUAUUGGAAACGAUAGCUAAUACCGCAUAAUAUUGAUUAUUGCAUGAUAAUUAAUUGAAAGGUGCAAUUGCACCACUACCAGAUGGACCUGCGUUGUAUUAGCUAGUAGGUGAGGUAACGGCUCACCUAGGCGACGAUACAUAGCCGACCUGAGAGGGUGAUCGGCCACACUGGGACUGAGACACGGCCCAGACUCCUACGGGAGGCAGCAGUAGGGAAUCUUCGGCAAUGGACGAAAGUCUGACCGAGCAACGCCGCGUGAGUGAAGAAGGUUUUCGGAUCGUAAAGCUCUGUUGUAAGAGAAGAACGGGGGUGAGAGUGGAAAGUUCACACUGUGACGGUAUCUUACCAGAAAGGGACGGCUAACUACGUG
rnacentral:rRNA from 1 species